GUUUGAUCAUGGCUCAGAUUGAACGCUGGCGGCAGGCUUAACACAUGCAAGUCGAACGGUAACAGGAAUUAGCUUGCUAAUUUGCUGACGAGUGGCGGACGGGUGAGUAAUGCUUGGGAAUCUGGCUUAUGGAGGGGGAUAACUACGGGAAACUGUAGCUAAUACCGCGUAAAAUCUUCGGAUUAAAGGGUGGGACUUUCGAGCCACCUGCCAUAAGAUGAGCCCAAGUGGGAUUAGGUAGUUGGUUAGGUAAAGGCUGACCAAGCCGACGAUCUCUAGCUGGUCUGAGAGGAUGACCAGCCACACUGGAACUGAGACACGGUCCAGACUCCUACGGGAGGCAGCAGUGGGGAAUAUUGCACAAUGGGCGCAAGCCUGAUGCAGCGACGCCGCGUGAGGGAUGACGGCCUUCGGGUUGUAAACCUCUUUCAGUAGGGAAGAA
rnacentral:rRNA from 1 species